UCAGACACUCUGGUCAUAUUCAGUUUCUUGCACAGACCGAUCGUUUCACUUCAUAAGACCUCAAUGUGUUAUCAGGAGCCACUGGUA